AGUAUAUUGUUCCAAUUAGUAGAGUGCACUAAAAAUUUGUCUCUAAAUUUAAAAUUAACUUUCUUCUUUUUUCUUAGCAAUUUUAAAAAGAAAAAGAUGCAGAUACUCUAA